rnacentral:rRNA from 1 species
UACAGAGGUCUCAAGCGUUGUUCGGAUUCAUUGGGCGUAAAGGGUGCGUAGGCGGCGCGGUAAGUCGGGUGUGAAAUCUUGGAGCUUAACUCCGAAACUGCAUUCGAUACUGCCGUGCUUGAGGACUGGAGAGGAGACUGGAAUUUACGGUGUAAGCGGUGAAAUGCGUAGAUAUCGUAAGGAAGACCAGUGGCGAAGGCGGGUCUCUGGACAGUUCCUGACGCUGAGGCACGAAGGUCAGGGGAGCAAACGGG